rnacentral:rRNA from 1 species
AAGUCGUAACAAGGUUUCCUUCCGGUUAAAAGUUUUAACCCGCCGAAGCCUGACAUGCCGACUUUAAAUCAGCAUGUAGUCUUGCCUCCGGGCAGGACAAUGCCGCUGAAAUGCUGUGAUCAACCACGGUUGUACCAGCAGCCCCUUACGGGGCCCACAGAUCAAGCCGCGGCGGUCCCACCUGGAGUACCCAGGUCAGACUUUAAUAUGACCGGUCUCGCCCGUGAUGGCGGAGAGUCGACGUUCCGUAGGUGAACCUGCGGAAGGAUCAUUACCGAGUAAGGGUCUUCUAGGCCCGACCUCCAACCCUUUGUUUACCAAACCACGUUGCUUUGGCGGGCCCGCCCAUUUCGGCCGCCGGGGGUCUCACCACCCCUGGCCCGUGUCCGCCAGUAGCCUUUCUAAAUUCUUUUUAAAUGUGUUUGUCUGAGUCUUAAAAUAAAAAUCGUUAAAACUUUCAACAACGGAUCUCUUGNUUCUGGCAUCGAUGAAGAACGCAGCGAAAUGCGAUAAGUAAUGCGAAUUGNAGAAUUCAGUGAGUCAUCGAAUCUUUGAACGCAUAUUGCGCCCUUUGGUAUUCCGAANGGCAUGCCUGUNCGAGCGUCAUUAUCAACCAUCANGCCUGGCUNGUCGUNGGACCCUGNUCGUCAAAAGACCGGUCCGAAAGAUAAUGGACGGNACCUGUCGGCCCUGGAUGCACGAGCUUUCACAGCACGCAUCGAAAGGUCGACGGCCCCGCCCUCAAAUCCCCAUUUCUCAGGUNGACCUCGNAUCAGGUAGGAAUACCCGCUGANCUUAAGCAUAUCAUANGCGGAGGAAAAGAANCCANCAGGGAUUACCNUAGUANCGGCGAGUGAAGCGGUAACAGCUCAAGUUUGAANUCUGGCCUUCACGGGCUCGAGUUGUAAUUUGUAGAGGAUGUUUCGGGCAAGGCUCUGGUUUAAGUUUCUUGGAACAGAACGUCAUAGAGGGUGAGAGUCCCGUCUAGAACCGAUAGCCGCGUCCAUGUGAAACUCCUUCGACGAGUCGAGUUGUUUGGGAAUGCAGCUCAAAAUGGGUGGUAAAUUUCAUCUAAAGCUAAAUAUUGGNCAGAGACCGAUAGCGCACAAGUAGAGUGAUCGAAAGAUGAAAAGCACUUUGAAAAGAGAGUUAAACAGUAUGUGAAAUUGUUAAAAGGGAAGCGCUUGCAACCAGACUUGCGUGUGGCGGUUCCCCCGGUCUUCUGACCGGGCUACUCCGUUACAUUCGGGCCAGCAUCGGUUCGGGUGGUUGGUUAAAGGUCUUGGGAAUGUAUCUACCUCCGGGUCGACUUAUAGCCCAGGGCGUAAUGCGGCCUACCUGGACCGAGGAACGCGCUUUUGCUCGGAUGCUGGCGUAAUGGUUGUAAGCGGCCCGUCUUGAAACACGGACC